rnacentral:rRNA from 1 species
CAGUCGCCGCGGUAAUACGAAGGGUGCAAGCGUUAAUCGGAAUUACUGGGCGUAAAGCGUGCGUAGGCGGUGAGUUAAGUCCGCUGUGAAAUCCCCGGGCUCGACCUGGGAAUGGCAGUGGAUACUGGCUCGCUAGAGUGUGUCAGAGGAUGGUGGAAUUCCCGGUGUAGCGGUGAAAUGCGUAGAGAUCGGGAGGAACAUCAGUGGCGAAGGCGGCCAUCUGGGACAACACUGACGCUGAGGCACGAAAGCGUGAGGAGCAAACAGGAUUAGAUACCCCGGUAGUCCCUGUCUCUUAUAC